rnacentral:lncRNA from 1 species
AGGUAUCUAUUGUUGGGCCUUAUGUGGUGCUCCCAAGGCUUAGGAGACCAAGGCUGAGGUCAAGGUUUAAAGUCCAUGAGGUGCUCAUGAGGUUUCUAGGACUAGUUUGGAUCCUAGGACGAAAGACUGUCAGCCUUUCAGGUCUUAAGGUUUAGGAGACUUGAGCCUCAAGGGGCUAACUUAUUUUGGGCUAGAUUUGAGUCCUAGAUAGAUGAGAUUUGUUCAAAUCAUGGGUGUACAUAGGUUUAGGUUAGCACAAAUCUCAUAUCAAGUUAGUUAGUUA